AAGCUCCUGAAUCAAGCGGUGAAGUUCUUCACUGCAUGACAUCCUGUGUGCCUGAGCAGAAAUCCUCCAGUCUCGGUUCCUAAUCAUUAAGCCUUAAGGACACAGCAUCUAACGAACAAGUAAAGGCAUUCCAGAAUUGUAAGUAAACGAAAGACUCAUCAGGCGUGAGGCCAGUUACUGGAAGGUCCAAGAACCAAAUCCCAUGGAGCAGCCCUCAGGCCUUCACAGGUAUUUAUACAACAAUUUAACUCUUUCAAUGGACGGCCAAUCCAAAAAUGUUUAAAUCUACUUACAACCUGGAAGCCUCCACUGCAAGUUAUCCG
rnacentral:lncRNA from 13 species